AUUGAACGCUGGCGGCAGGCCUAACACAUGCAAGUCGAACGGUAACAGGAAGAAGCUUGCUUCUUUGCUGACGAGUGGCGGACGGGUGAGUAAUGUCUGGGAAACUGCCUGAUGGAGGGGGAUAACUACUGGAAACGGUAGCUAAUACCGCAUAACGUCGCAAGACCAAAGAGGGGGACCUUCGGGCCUCUUGCCAUCGGAUGUGCCCAGAUGGGAUUAGCUAGUAGGUGGGGUAACGGCUCACCUAGGCGACGAUCCCUAUCUGGUCUGAGAGGAUGACCAGCCAAACGGGAACUGAGAAACGGUCCAGACUCCUACGGGAGGCAGCAGUGGGGAAUAUUGCACAAUGGGCGCAAGCCUGAUGCAGCCAUGCCGCGUGUAUGAAGAAGGCCUUCGGGUUGUAAAGUACUUUCAGCGGGGAGGAAGGGAGUAAAGUUAAUACCUUUGCUCAUUGACGUUACCCGCAGAAGAAGCACCGGCUAACUCCGUG
rnacentral:rRNA from 1 species